AUGUGAUCGUCUCUCGCAUAUCAAUAAGCGGAGGAAAAGAAACUAACAAGGAUUCCCCUAGUAACGGCGAGUGAAGCGGGAAGAGCUCAAAUUUGAAAUCUUAAAGGGUUUCCCUUUACGAAUUGUAGUUUAAAGAAGUGUUUUCUGUUGAGGUUUUGGUAAAAGUUCUUUGGAAUAGGACAUCAUAGAGGGUGAGAAUCCCGUAUUUGACCUUUACUUUCAACUUUGUGAUACACUUUCAAAGAGUCGGAUUGUUUGGGAAUGCAGUCCAAAAUGGGUGGUAAAUUUCAUCUAAAGCUAAAUAUUGGCGAGAGACCGAUAGCGAACAAGUACCGUGAGGGAAAGAUGAAAAGAACUUUGAAAAGAGAGUUAAACAGUACGUGAAAUUGUCAAAAGGGAAGCGUUUGACACCAGUGUUGUUUUUCUGAAAAUCAAUUAAAGAACUGUUUAUGCUAAGCUGUUUAGACUUUAUCAGCUAUCUGUUUAGUUUUGAGCUUUUCUUUAAUACACUUUUCAGUUAACAAGUCAACAUCAAUUUCUUUUGCUGUAAAAAAGCUUGAGGAAGGUGGCUUGAGAUUCGUCUUAAGUGUUUAUAGCCUCUUGCCUAUGCAGUCGGAGAGAUUGAGGUCUGCAGCGUAGAUCCUUCGGGGCUAAAUGCAUUUGUGCUAAGUUAUAGCAUUUUAUAGACAACUUGUUGACUAUGAUUUGUCUUGUAGCUUACUCGCUUAUGUUAUUUUACCUACGCUUAGGAUGUUGAGCGCAUGUCUCUCUCU
rnacentral:rRNA from 1 species